rnacentral:rRNA from 1 species
AUUGAACGCUGGCGGCAGGCCUAAUACAUGCAAGUCGAGCGGAGCGGCGGACGGGUGAGUAAGGCCUAGGAAUCUGCCUGGUAGUAGGGGAUAACGUCCGGGAACGGGCGCCAAUACCGCAUACUAUCAGAUGAGACUAGGUCGGAUUGGCUAGUUGGUGGGGUAAAGGCCUACCAAGGCGACGAUCCGUAACUGGUCUGAGAGGAUGAUCAGUCACACGGGAACUGAGAAACGGUCCAGACUCCUACGGGAGGCAGCAGUGGGGAAUAUUGGGCAAUGGGCGAAAGCCUGAUCCAGCCAUGCCGCGUGUGUGAAGAAGGUCUUCGGAUUGUAAAGCACUUUAGGUUGGGAGGCGUUACCAACAGAAUAAGCACCGGCUAACUUCGUGCCAGCAGCCGCGGUAAUAC